rnacentral:lncRNA from 10 species
GAGCCAAGAUCGCGCCACUGCCUUCCAGCCUGGGCGACAGAGCGAAACUCCGUCUCAAAAACAAACAAAAACCCCAAAACACAAAAAGACAUAAAAACUAUUUGGAUAACUCUAGCAUUUACCCAAGAUGUUAAGGAAUCUAAAAGGGAGUUCUUAAAGACAAUAGAUGAGACAAAGCCAUUUCCAGUGUCGGCCCAUUUAAUAAACUGGUUCCACCUGGAUUUUCUCUUCAUUGUGGUGAAAGCCACCACCUAACAAUGCUGGCCCUGCCUGCAUCAUCGCAUGUCAUCAUGACAACCUAUGGGGGAGAACAGCUCCAUUCAACAGAUGCAGAAACUGCAGGUUAAAGGGUGAAAAGCAGUUGCGAAGUCCCCACAGCUUGGAAAUGGUGGAGCCGAGACUGAAACCCAGGUGUGCUAGCAUCUAAAGUUCAUGCUCUUUCCACCACAUUAGACUGUAUUCUGAGGGCACCAAGGAAGCUCCAUUUUUCUUAAGAAACCAAAUUGCAGUCCUCCAGGACCACAGCCAGGGGAGCAUCUUCGUGGGAGAGUGGCUGCUGCUCAGAGUUGUGACUCCCAUCCUUAAGAGUCCUCUGUCCUCUCUGGCCUCCUUUCUACUGAUCAUUGCUGUCCCCUUCACAGGGGAGAGGGGCCAUGGCCUAUCCCCUAAAGAGUCUGCCAAGGUAGACUCAUAACCUCCCCGUGGCACAGCUCAGACAAGCUGGGCUAUUUACAUAAGACUUGACCCAGGGCUUGAGGACAGCGCGAGGAAUGAGGUGCAGAGGAGACUGCUGCUUCUGGGUGACAGUCUGCCUGGCUGACCACAGCUGGGGUACUCAUUGGCCUCUUGAGGCCCCCCACAGGCCUGCCCUGCCUGACCUACUCUUGUGAGGCCAAGGCCAUCUCCUCCACUCUCUGGGGGCCUCUUCUGACUCCUCCAAACUCUUCCAUGUCUGGACUCCUGGCUUCUGCCCAAGGCCAUCUAUUGGAGUUUGGGUUUCCAGUUGAGGAUCUGCCUUUUUCCUGGAUGACCAAACCUAGAAUGUGACCGGCCUCAUGCUCCCUCCUCACAAGGGUGUGGCUUUAUCCGAGGGCCUCAGCAAGGCAACCAACACCAGACAUGAAGCUGGUCUCUCUGUGCCUGCUUUACUGCCCUUCGCUUUCCU